rnacentral:lncRNA from 1 species
GAGGGAAUGAAGAUGGUGCUGAAGACGAGGAGAUGGUGAAGGCCAGCUCCCAAGGUGCUGGCACUCUGUUUGGUGCAGGUGUCCCUGUGCCCAGCAGAGCUGACAGAAACACCUCCUCCCUUUAGGGCUCACCCCUUGCACAGAUGCCAACAGUGGAGGCAGAAGUUUGCGUGCUCUCCCCAUGUCCAGCAUGGGUCACAGGAGUCUCCCCACUCAGGAUGCCCAUGAUGGCCUUUGAAUACCCCUGCACCGUCCACGGGCUGCAUUUGAGAAUCUUCAUUAUUACUCCUUAUAAGGAAAUGUUGCCAGUGAAAAAGAAAACACUCCCACGCAAACACGGGCAAUUUAACUGGAUACCUUUUAUGAGAUUUUGCAGCAGUGCACUCAGGGAGAGGAAAUAUAAGAGCCACUUGGAAAGGAACAACAGCACUACAGAGUGA